rnacentral:rRNA from 1 species
UUGAAGCGCAUUUUGCUAUUAUGUGUUCUUUUAAUUAAAAUGAUUCUUUUUAAGGACUUUCUUUGCUUCGGCUUGGAAGUCCUUGUUACUUUGAGUAAAUUAGAGUGUUCAAA